ACUGGAUAAUUCCAAAGGGAUUGCAUUGAUUCAUCUUAGAAACAGCAGCUGCUGGACGAUGAUGAGUCAUGCAUUCCCUUCGGAAUCCUCCCGU
rnacentral:pre_miRNA from 1 species